rnacentral:rRNA from 1 species
AGCGAACGCUCGCGGCAGGCUUAACACAUGCGAGUCGAGCGGGCGUAGCAAUACGUCAGCGGCAGACGGGUGAGUAACGCGUGGGAACGUACCUUUUGGUUCGGAACAACACAGGGAAACUUGUGCUAAUACCGGAUAAGCCCUUACGGGGAAAGAUUGAUCGCCGAACGAUCGGCCCGCGUCUGAUUAGCCAGUUGGUGAGGUAACGGCUCACCAAGGCGACGAUCAGUACCUGGUCUGAGAGGAUGAUCAGCCACAUUGGGACUGAGACACGGCCCAAACUCCUACGGGAAGCAGCAGUGGGGACUAUUGGACACUGGGGGCAAACAUGAUCCAGCCAUGCCGCGUGAGUGAUGAAGGACCUAGGGUUGUAAAGCUCUUUUGUGCGGGAAGAUAAUGACGGUACCGCAAGAAUAAGCCGCGGGUAGCUUCGUA